UGUAUGCCAUUUCUCUCCUUCUGAAAGCCACUGUAUGAUAAAGUAAGAAGUGAAGGGCUGUAGGUGGAAGAGAACAGCAAAAGGUAAAAAUUCUGCCAGGAGCAAAACCGUUUCUUGCUUUCUGGAGGAGGCUUUCAUUUAUGUAUGAAGUUUGUAACCUCGCUCUCUGUGACAAAGUGAAGUGAUGUGGAGCAUGAAAGCUGACUCACCUCAUACAUUGAAGACUGUAGCUUACAAUGAAAAAGCCUGGGAAGCAAAGAAUAGCGUCUUCUAUCCAAGGAUCACAAAGCCUUCUGACGUCUCUGUUAUCCAAUGGCAAGGAAAUACAGUUCCCUUAGGCUCAAAAAGCAUCAUGGUUUGAUUUCCAGAAAUGCGGCACCUAAUGAUUUCCAUUAGUAUCAGUGGAAGUGUAGGUGAGUAGUAUAUUUUUCAGACACCAUUAAGACAGAUUACAGAAAUUCAAAAGAAAAAAGAAAGACACUAAGCCUCUUAUAGGCCUUGUACCCAAGGCUUCCAGAUUUAAGCUGAAAAAUACCUGAGCUGAGGUACCAAAGACAGCUUUGUUAAAGCUAGUGACUGUAGGAAGGGAUCCGACCUGUUUCAUACUACAGAUUAGUGCAGUCCCCCCAACAAGACCCCGCACUUUAGCACACAACAGAACAGCAAUUUCUCAAUUUCUAGAUUUUAAAACUAUUUCAGUAACAUUAAUCCAAAGAUAUAUACAACAUUUCUCGCAAUUUUAACUACUGCAAGGCAGAAUAAAA
rnacentral:lncRNA from 1 species